rnacentral:sRNA from 1 species
AAAGUGAAAAAAAAACACGGUAACUUUUUUACAGGGUCAUAAAAUUACGGGAAAAAUAGAAAUAAAUACAAACCGAAUUGUAUUAAGGGCAUCUCCAUCAGUGAGAUACUUUCUUAGUUUCUAAAAAAUAAAA